UACGAAGGGGGCUAGCGUUGCUCGGAAUCACUGGGCGUAAAGGGUGCGUAGGCGGGUCUUUAAGUCAGGGGUGAAAUCCUGGAGCUCAACUCCAGAACUGCCUUUGAUACUGAGAUCUUGAGUUCGGGAGAGGUGAGUGGAACUGCGAGUGUAGAGGUGAAAUUCGUAGAUAUUCGCAAGAACACCAGUGGCGAAGGCGGCUCACUGGCCCGAUACUGACGCUGAGACGCGAAAGCCAGGGGAGCGAACGGG
rnacentral:rRNA from 1 species